rnacentral:rRNA from 1 species
UACGGAGGAUGCGAGCGUUAUCCGGAUUUAUUGGGUUUAAAGGGUGCGUAGGCGGAUUUUUAAGUCAGCGGUAAAAUGUCCGGGCUCAACCCGGGCCGGCCGUUGAAACUGGGGAUCUUGAGUGGGCGAGAAGUAUGCGGAAUGCGUGGUGUAGCGGUGAAAUGCAUAGAUAUACGGAGGAACACCAGUGGCGAAGGCGGCCUGCUGGACAAUAACUGACGCUGAGGCGCGAAAGCGUGGGGAGCAAACAGG